rnacentral:rRNA from 1 species
AGUGAACGCUGGCGGCGUGCUUAACACAUGCAAGUCGAACGAGAACGGGAUAUAGCUUGCUAUAUUUGUCAGCUAAGUGGCGCACGGGUGAGUAAUGUAUAGAUAACCUGCCCUCUAGAAAGGAAUAACAGUUGGAAACGACUGCUAAUGCCCUAUAUGCCUUUAAUACAUAAGUAUGCAAGGGAAACGCUUUAGUGCUAGAGGAUGGGUCUGUAUGGUAUCAGCUUGUUGGUGAGGUAAUGGCUCACCAAGGCUAUGACGCCUAACUGGUUUGAGAGGAUGAUCAGUCACACCGGAACUGAGACACGGUCCAGACUCCUACGGGAGGCAGCAGUGGGGAAUAUUGCACAAUGGACGAAAGUCUGAUGCAGCAACGCCGCGUGGAGGAUGACACAUUUCGGUGCGUAAACUCCUUUUAUAUAGGAAGAUAAUGACGGUACUAUAUGAAUAAGCACCGGCUAACUCCGUGCCAGCCGCCGCUGUAAAAC